GCAGUCGUGGCCGAGUGGUUAAGGCGAUGGACUUGAAAUCCAUUGGGGUCUCCCGCGCAGGUUCGAAUCCUGCCGGCUGCG
rnacentral:tRNA from 2 species